UGGGGAAUAUUGCACAAUGGGCGAAAGCCUGAUGCAGCAACGCCGCGUGAGUGAUGAAGGUCUUCGGAUUGUAAAGCUCUGUCUUUUGGGACGAUAAUGACGGUACCAAAGGAGGAAGCCACGGCUAACUACGUGCCAGCAGCCGCGGUAAUACGUAGGUGGCGAGCGUUGUCCGGAUUUACUGGGCGUAAAGGGUGCGUAGGCGGAUGUUUAAGUGAGAUGUGAAAUACCCGGGCUUAACUUGGGUGCUGCAUUUCAAACUGGAUAUCUAGAGUGCAGGAGAGGAGAAUGGAAUUCCUAGUGUAGCGGUGAAAUGCGUAGAGAUUAGGAAGAACACCAGUGGCGAAGGCGAUUCUCUGGACUGUAACUGACGCUGAGGCACGAAAGCGUGGGUAGCAAACAGGAUUAGAUACCCUGGUAGUCCACGCCGUAAAACGAUGAGUACUAGGUGUAGGAGGUAUCGACCCCUUCUGUGCCGCAGUAAAACACAUUAAGUACUCCGCCUGGGAAGUACGAUCGCAAGAUUAAA
rnacentral:rRNA from 1 species